rnacentral:tRNA from 1 species
CGGGGUGUAGCGUAGUCUGGUUAUCGCGCCUGGUUUGGGACCAGGAGAUCACAAGUUCAAAUCUUGUCACUCCGA